UAGAAAGGCAGCAUGCCAGCCUCCGGUGA
rnacentral:piRNA from 1 species